UGGGGUCUGCAGAAAGCAGGAACACUCCUGCAGCCUUCAUGCCACUUUCCUUGGAACAAAGUAUUGGGGCACCCAGGAGGGUGCACAAGGAAAGCAGCCAUUUACUGGUACUGUUAUUUGCACUGUGAUUUGGUACCUGGCUGGUCUGGGAAUUCUGGCACCAAGGACCAGACAGUGGUUUGGACUUCUUUUAGUUAGUUAGGGAAAAAAAAGCCAACCAAGGCUGUGUGGAAGGCAGUUUCUGAGCAAAGGAAUCAUGAGCACCUGCUCCGGCUCUGUCCUCCCUUCUCCUACCACGCUGGCUGUGACUGCACAGGCAUCUGAUGGAGCUGGCAUCUCAUGUUUUAGAGAAUAAACCCAAGUAAAGGAGGAGGUCCUGAGUGCUGAGAUGGUUACCUAGUCCCUUCCCACAUCUUGAAGCAGAUUUAGUGUUCCCCAAAGCAUUCAGCAGGAAGAGAACCUGGUGCCAGGCACGGGAUUGGCAGGCGAACUGUGGGCAGCCAAGGAACCUCUGCACAAGCAGAAUCAUGCAACACCUGAUCCAAAGCCCAAAGCAGCCAUCGUCUCCAACACGCUUCGAACACGCUUGCUCACUCAACACCAGAGAUCAUGCAAAGCCAUCUGGUCUCCAGAGAAGCUCCUGUCCCACCUCACCACUGCCUGCUGCUCCCAUCCCUGCUUGUCCCAGCAGAGAAACCCUGAUCCCACAGCGCUUCUGGGACUGACUGUGCCAAGUUGCCCCUCCCAGUUUCUCCCUGCUGCGAUUUAACUCAGAUAAAUUUUUCUGUUUUCCACAGCCUUUUCUGAGGGAAUUCUCUAAAAGGGAUGAUGCAGUGCACAAUUCUUGACAUCUUGCUUUGCCCAAAUCCAUUUGACAUGGCCACCCAUUGCGUCUGUACUCACUUCAAGAGUGAGCUGUUCUGAUUGGGUUCCUCCUCUUUGCAGAGGAGAUGUUUUCUCUGUGCUCUCCGCUGUGAAUUAUCUAGCAGGAAGGUCAGCCAAUUCCUCCCAAAGAUACAAGAGAAACCAAAGACCGGUCUGGGGUCUUUGGUAACAUUGCUUUCCCUCUAAUACUCCUUUCUUCCUUUUUGCAUCCUCUCUCUUCUGUCCACCACAUUUUACCCUUUCCAAACCUCCAAAACAUGAGGCUGAUAACAAUCAGCCCAAGGCAAAGCACGAGCAGAGGCAGCUGAUCUUCACCAGUCUGCAUUUUUGAUCUAGAAUGACUUUUGACUUUAAGGGUGACAUCCUCCCCAUGUCUCCUUUACUAGGCGUGCUUCAGGACACUGGAAUUGCAGUACAUGCCAGUCACAGAGAUUUACAGCUCAGUAAGUUUAACCUUAGAUUCUUUGAAUAACGUGCACACAUCUUACUAAAACUGGUGCAUUCAAUGAAGGCUUGACAUAUCAUCUAAUGCAGCUGUAUUUAAAAAAACCCUGUCCCUUCAACCAUAAUAGCCCAGGCAUACAUUGUAACUCUAACCACAUGUCAUAGCCCAGUGCUGUCCCUUAACUGUAAACCUCCCAUCUGCAGAUCUGCAGCGUCUUCAGGGUUGGGUUUGUUUCUGACUAAGAGCUUGAACAACAAAUGUAGGAUAGGAGGAUAAUGCAUGGAUUGCAGACCUAGAGAGGCACAGGCACUUAGCACCAACCUGUCCACCCUGAGUUUGCUUCAGAAUGUGCCAGAUAAGACACGUGUUGACUAGAAAAUAUUUAUUGCUACUGCUGGCCCUAACUGACUAAGUGUAAAAAAGCCUGCUUUCCUCUUCAUUGAGCUCUGGUAGCCUCACUGAAGAGGGCUCAUCCUGGCAAAGGGCCGGGACUUUACCUGCUGUAGACAGUCAUGACAUUUUGGUCUUCCAAAUGGUGGAAGAAAAAGUCACAUUCAUUGCUGCUGUACCUUCCAAAACCCAGCCCUGCCUUGGCAAGGCUGAACUCACCAGAGAGUACAGAGUCACAAGAUGUUUGCAAAUGUAUGUGAUUCAUCCAGUUUGCACAAGCAUUUGCACAUCAAGAGUGAUAACAUGCAAGAUCAGCCUGAUCCCUAAGAGCUAACAUGGAGAUCUGUGCCCCACACAAAACUUUUACAACCAAGGCUAAGGCUUUUCCCCAGAGUGGCACACCACAUGCUUCUGGACACUGGCAUGCACCUAAUCUGUGCACCUUGCCAAAACAUGGUGAGUCAAAUGAGUUUGAGACUCUGUGAAGCCCAGGGAGAGGUUCAAACUUGAGGACAUGGGAGACAGCCCAAAGGCAGCUCUGACUCCUGCCAUUUCCAAACUCCUCAUCCAAAGCAGAGUUCAUCCUGAUGCUUUGCCAUCUGAUGCACAUUAAGAGGAGAAAUUCGAUACCGGUGUUGCCCUGGACUUGCACAGGAUGCUCAGGAUUUUAUGCUACAGCACUUGUAAUUUCAACCAUCCAAAGACCAGCCCACAAAGUGACUGGAUUCUAUUAAAAUAAGAUUAAACAAUAAUAAGAAGUUUUUAGAAGAGCCAGGAUGAAGAUGAACACAUUUGGAAAUCUUAGACAGCGUGAAUUGUAUCCAUAGCCCUGGAACAGCAGGAAUCAGGAGGAACUCCUCCAAUGAGACACAGUGAUAACAACCUGAUGCAAUUCAGCUCUAAGGUAGGACUGAUGUUUGGGGACUGGCGAAACCAGACCCUUUGUUUCUAAGCGAUGACAGCUCUGAAGUUUUAAUGUUUGUAGAGAGAUGUUUUUGCCAAAUAUGAUACACAGUGAUUAAAAUAAUGAGCUGGAACAAGCUGAAGCUAUAAUUGCUCCUUUUCCUCCCCUCCCCUGAGUUGGUCUGAGUGCUUCGUUAACUACCUUGAUGAACCAAUCAAGAGUUGGCUAAAUCAGGGAAGGAGCAAACAAACCCUAGGAGACAUCCCUACAAGAAAAAGCAUAAUCUGGACACUGAGCUUUGAAGGCAAGCUGUAUAAUGAGAGCUGACUAUAUCUCAAAAUCCAUGUUAGCUUGAAUGAACUUAUGUAAUAAACAUUUAUCACAGAACA
rnacentral:lncRNA from 1 species